rfam:Medicago truncatula strain A17 chromosome 6, whole genome shotgun sequence.
AGACACUGAUGAAUACUGUGACAGGUCUCGUUCGUCGUAAUGGUAAAUUUUUACCUUGCCGACCAUUCUGUUAUAUCACCACCCAUAUUCUGAGUCU